AAACUCUUUAGAACUCUACACCUGAAUAGCCACAAAAGGCCUGCUUCUUCGAUGAAAUCGUCGUUUACAAAAUCCAUAGAUUAUCAUUCAAUAUCUCUCAAAAAACUGAAAUAGACGGAAAAACCAAGGUGUGAACGGUCUCGGGCAGCUGCCUGCCAGCACCGGGCAGGCCGGCAGAGGUGUGACAGUACCCUUAUGGACGCGCUUAAAGUUGCCUUCAGCAGGAGUUCAUAAUAUUUUUAAAAAUUUUUUACGCUGCAAAAAAAGUAUUGCGAUUACUCUAUUUUUAUUAAGGAACCGUAGGGGGACAUAGGAUAUAUAUAUACCAGUGAUCCCAGAUCUGAAACGAGACGUGGUCCAAUCCUAUGACACGUCUGUGUCCGUGUGAAUAUGGUAGGAGACGAUAUAA